rnacentral:rRNA from 1 species
AGGUUAAUUGAUGGGGUUAGCGUAAGCGAAGCUCUUGAUCGAAGCCCCAGUAAACGGCGGCCGUAACUAUAACGGUCCUAAGGUAGCGAAAUUCCUUGUCGGGUAAGUUCCGACCUGCACGAAUGGCAUAAUGAUGGCGGCGCUGUCUCCAGCAGAGGCUCAGUGAAAUCGAAAUCGCUGUGAAGAUGCAGUGUACCCGCGGCUAGACGGAAAGACCCCGUGAACCUUUACUGCAGCUUGACACUGAACUUUGACCUUACUUGUGUAGGAUAGGUGGGAGGCUUUGAAGCUGGAACGCUAGUUCCAGUGGAGCCGUCCUUGAAAUACCACCCUGGUAAUGUUGAGGUUCUAACUCUGUCCCGUGAUCCGGGACGAGGACCGUGUCUGGUGGGUAGUUUGACUGGGGCGGUCUCCUCCUAAAGAGUAACGGAGGAGUACGAAGGUGCGCUCAGCGUGGUCGGAAAUCACGCGUAGAGUAUAAAGGCAAAAGCGCGCUUAACUGCGAGACCCACAAGUCGAGCAGGUACGAAAGUAGGUCUUAGUGAUCCGGUGGUUCUGUAUGGAAGGGCCAUCGCUCAACGGAUAAAAGGUACUCUGGGGAUAACAGGCUGAUACCGCCCAAGAGUUCAUAUCGACGGCGGUGUUUGGCACCUCGAUGUCGGCUCAUCUCAUCCUGGGGCUGAAGCAGGUCCCAAGGGUAUGGCUGUUCGCCAUUUAAAGAGGUACGCGAGCUGGGUUUAGAACGUCGUGAGACAGUUCGGUCCCUAUCUACCGUGGGCGCUGGAAAUUUGAGAGGAUCUGCUCCUAGUACGAGAGGACCAGAGUGGACGAACCUCUGGUGUACCGGUUGUGACGCCAGUCGCAUCGCCGGGUAGCUAUGUUCGGAAGGGAUAACCGCUGAAAGCAUCUAAGCGGGAAGCCUACCUCAAGAUAAGAUUUCCCUAGGACUUUAUGUCCUCUAAAGAGCCGUUCGAGACUAGGACGUUGAUAGGUUGGAUGUGGAAGCAUAGUGAUAUGUGAAGCUGACCAAUACUAAUUGCUCGUGAGGCUUGACUAU